rnacentral:rRNA from 1 species
UAGGGAAUCUUCGGCAAUGGACGAAAGUCUGACCUAGCAACGCCGCGUGAGUGAAGAAGGUUUUCGGAUCGUAAAACUCUGUUGUUAGAGAAGAACAAGGACGUUAGUAACUGAACGUCCCCUGACGGUAUCUAACCAGAAAGCCACGGCUAACUACGUGCCAGCAGCCGCGGUAAUACGUAGGUGGCAAGCGUUGUCCGGAUUUAUUGGGCGUAAAGCGAGCGCAGGCGGUUUCUUAAGUCUGAUGUGAAAGCCCCCGGCUCAACCGGGGAGGGUCAUUGGAAACUGGGAGACUUGAGUGCAGAAGAGGAGAGUGGAAUUCCAUGUGUAGCGGUGAAAUGCGGAGAUAUAUGGAGGAACACCAGUGGCGAAGGCGGCUCUCUGGUCUGUAACUGACGCUGAGGCUCGAAAGCGUGGGGAGCAAACAGG